AUGAACGCUGGCGGCGUGCCUAAUACAUGCAAGUCGAGCGAACGGACGAGAAGCUUGCUUCUCUGAUGUUAGCGGCGGACGGGUGAGUAACACGUGGAUAACCUACCUAUAAGACUGGGAUAACUUCGGGAAACCGGAGCUAAUACCGGAUAAUAUUUUGAACCGCAUGGUUCAAAAGUGAAAGACGGUCUUGCUGUCACUUAUAGAUGGAUCCGCGCUGCAUUAGCUAGUUGGUAAGGUAACGGCUUACCAAGGCAACGAUGCAUAGCCGACCUGAGAGCGUGAUCGGCCACACUGGAACUGAGACACGGUCCAGACUCCUACGGGAGGCAGCAGUAGGGAAUCUUCCGCAAUGGGCGAAAGCCUGACGGAGCAACGCCGCGUGAGUGAUGAAGGUCUUCGGAUCGUAAAACUCUGUUAUUAGGGAAGAACAUAUGUGUAAGUAACUGUGCACAUCUUGACGGUACCUAAUCAGAAAGCCACGGCUAACUACGUG
rnacentral:rRNA from 1 species